rnacentral:rRNA from 1 species
UACAGAGGUCUCAAGCGUUGUUCGGAAUUACUGGGCGUAAAGGGCGCGUAGGCGGCCUACUAAGUCGGACGUGAAAUCCCUCGGCUCAACCGGGGAACUGCGUCCGAUACUGGUGGGCUCGAAUCCGGGAGAGGGAUGUGGAAUUCCAGGUGUAGCGGUGAAAUGCGUAGAUAUCUGGAGGAACACCGGUGGCGAAGGCGGCAUCCUGGACCGGUAUUGACGCUGAUGCGCGAAAGCCAGGGGAGCAAACGGG